rnacentral:rRNA from 1 species
GGAAGCAGCAGUGAGGAAUUUUUCACAAUGGACGAAAGUCUGAUGGAGCAAUACCACGUGAACGAUGAAGGUCUUCUGAUUGUAAAGUUCUUUUAUUUAGGAAAAAAAGCUCGGAAGGAAAUGACCGAGCCCUGAUCGUACUAAAUGAAUAAGUGACAGCUAACUAUGUGCCAGCAGCUGCGGUAAAACAUAGGUCACGAGCAUUAUCCGGAUUUAUUGGGCGUAAAGGAAGCGUAGGCGGACAAGUCGAUCUAUUGUGAAAGGCACUUGCUCAACAAGUUGUUUGCGAUAGAAAUCGCUUGUCUAGAAUUAGUUAGGAGAUACUGGAAUUCAAUGUGUAGCGGUGGAAUGCGUAGAUAUAUUGAGGAACACCAGAGGCUAAGGCGAGUAUCUAGGACAUAAUUGACGCUGAGGCUUGAAAGCGUGGGGAGCAAAUGGGAUUAGAUACCCCAGUAGUCCACGCCGUAAACGAUGGGUAUUAGGUAUUUGAUUCAUAAUUGAGUGCUGUAGCUAACGCGUUAAAUACCCCGCCUGGGUAGUAUAUAUGCAAAUAUGAAACUCAAAGAAAUUGACGGGGACC